UACGGGGGGGGCAAGCGUUGUUCGGAAUUACUGGGCGUAAAGGGCUCGUAGGUGGCCGACUCAGUCAGACGUGAAAUCCCUCGGCUCAACCGGGGAACUGCGUCUGAUACUAGUUGGCUUGAAUCCGGGAGAGGGACGCGGAAUUCCAGGUGUAGCGGUGAAAUGCGUAGAUAUCUGGAGGAACACCGGUGGCGAAGGCGGCGUCCUGGACCGGUAUUGACACUGAGGAGCGAAAGCCAGGGGAGCAAACGGG
rnacentral:rRNA from 1 species